rnacentral:rRNA from 1 species
UGAGUACGAGACGCUAAGGCGUCGAAGUAGUGUAUGUCAUACUUCCAAGAAAAGCUUGCACUGUCAUUCAUAAAAAAUGCCUGUACCAUAACCGACACAGGUGGGUAGGUAGAGUAUACUAAGGGGCGCGAGAUAACUCUCUCUAAGGAACUCGCAAAAUAACUCCGUAACUUCGGGAGAAGGAGUGCCUUAUUUAUAUAAGGUUGCAAUAACAAGAUCCAAGCAACUGUUUACCAAACACAGGUCUCCGCUAAGUCGUAAGACGAUGUAUGGGGGCUGACGCCUGCCCAGUGCCAGAAGGUUAAAGAAGUUGGUUAGCAAUAGCGAAGCUGAUAACUGAAGCCCUGGUGAACGGCGGCCGUAACAAUAACGGUCCUAAGGUAGCGAAAUUCCUUGUCGGGUAAGUUCCGACCCGCACGAAAGGCGAAAUGAUUUGGAUACUGUCUCGGAGAGGGACUCGGUGAAAUAGACUUGUCUGUGAAGAUGCGGACUACCUGCACCUGGACAGAAAGACCCUAUGAAGCUUUACUGUAACUUGAAAUUGAAAUUGGACUUUAUUCGCGCAGUAUAGGUGGGAGGCGUUGAAAAUAAUCUUGCGGGACUAUUGGAGCCAUCAGUGAGAUACCACUCUUAUAAUGUUAGAUUUCUAACUUUGAAUCAUUAUCUGGUCAAAGAACAGUUUCAGGCGGGCAGUUUGACUGGGGCGGUCGCCUCCCAAACGGUAACGGAGGCGUACAAAGGUUUCCUCUGAACGGGUAGAAAUCGUAUCUAGAGUAUAAAGGCAAAAGGAAGCUUGACUGUGAGACCUACAAGUCGAGCAGGGACGAAAGUCGGUCUUAGUGAUCUGACGGUACUGAGUGGAAAGGCCGUCACUCAACGGAUAAAAGUUACUCUAAGGAUAACAGGCUGAUCUCCCCCAAGAGUUCACAUCGACGGGGAGGUUUGGCACCUCGAUGUCGGCUCAUCGCAUCCUGGGGCGGUAGUACGUCCCAAGGGUUGGGCUGUUCGCCCAUGAAAGCGGUACGCGAGCUGGGUUCAGAACGUCGUGAGACAGUUCGGUCCAUAUCCGGUGUAGGCGUUAGAAUAUUGAGAGGAGCCUUCUUUAGUACGAGAGGACCGAGAAGGACAUACCUCUGGUGUACCAGUUAUCGUGCCAACGGUAAACGCUGGGUAGCUAUGUAUGGAGUGGAUAACCGCUGAAAGCAUCUAAGUGGGAAGCCCACCUCAAGAUGAG